GAGGGAAGACAGAGAAUUAGUCAUCUGAGAAAAGCGUACAUGACAGUGAGACACAGUAUUAGAGCAUCGGCUGCCAGCGCUACAGCGGCGCACGGACGGAGGCUUUUAAAGCUGCUGCUAUUAUUCAUUUUGAAAGAUGGUGAAUAUUGACCGAGCCAUUGUGCCAUGUGCCACUGACACAUUGUUAGAUGAAGGCAGAUCACACACACAUUGUUCAACAGCUGCCUUACAAUGAGAUAAUUAGCCACAACCAUCUUCUUUUUUUUGGCAUGUUUGCCUUUAUAUAUAUAGCAGUGAAGAGGCUGACAGGAAACAAGGGGAGAGAGAGAUGAGUAUGACAUGCAACAAAGGUCCCUGGCUGGAAUCGAACCAGGGACGUUGCAGUCAUGUGGUGCAUUAACCAUUUGGCUAAUGGGGUGCCACAACCAUCUUUAAUGGGAGUUAAUACAGACAGUGCCGUGAGAGUUUGAAGGAGCCUGCCCAUUAGAACAAGUGGUGUUAGUCACCGGUUGGCUGAGGAGAUUCUUUAAGUGAGUCUUUUCCAUUCUAGCAAGAGCUGCUGCAGUCAUAAAAGUAGUGAGAAACCUACAGAGACGAAGUGGCUGUGUCUCAGAAAAGUCAGAGUAAAAAUAGAAAGAAAAGAAAUCCCCAAAUUGUGAAAGCGGAAAGAAGACAAGCAACCAGGGCCGUUACUCUGGCCCAUAAAUAGGCCUGUUGGAGGUGAUGGAGGGCCUCUGAGGGAGACGGAGCACUUCGCCUGAUUCCCAGAGAAAGGUAAUGACAGGCCCCGUCAAUACCCAGCGCUCCAUUUACUACGGACCCCGUCUGCACUACUAACAAGAUUUGAGGCUAAUACUCAGAGGACCUAGACCGUGUCCGCUCAGGGAAUGGUUCACUCUCCCAGGCCCCCUGAAUCACUCACCAUCCACUGCGCACGUGGUUUGCUUUUCUAAAACUGAAGUGGACAUCGGUGAUGCAGCAUUUGGAAGGUGGAAAGUGGUUCUGAGUCUGAAAAAUGCGCAGUUGACACCAUAGGCUAUUUGUUGAAUAUGGGCAGUAGUGGUGUGAUAGCUCACCAAACAGGAAGGUAUGGUUUAGGAAGACAAUUAAAUUAAGUUACAUUUAAGUAUAAGCCUUUAGAUAGUUAGGUUUAUGUCUAAACUUGAAAUUAGUUAUAUUAAGGUUAGAGAUGGUAAGAAUCUGUAGUUACAGUGGAAUUCACAAGAAUGUUUUAAUGUAAGAUACAGAGUUUUUUGGCCACCUUGGGGCAGCAGAAACAAGUUGUGAGAACAACACUAACGUCUUUUACCUUAAAAAGUUGGCAUAGCGAACUUCUUAGCAAACAUUUGCCAUAUACACAUCCAACAAGAGCAACGUUAUCAUUUAUUUAGAGUCGUGUCUCUGCCCAUCGGGCGAAUGUCCAAUAUUCACUCUCCUUCUUCUGUAGCUCUGCUUUUGUUCUUUACCAACUUCAGGGGGAAAAUAAGCUGCUAAAUGAUCCAUGAUGUUCACCAGCUAGUUGCCAACUUUGUCUGUCUGCUGUUUGGUGCUUGGCUGGGUGAAUGAUAAUUCUCUAUGGGUUUGUCACAAAACGACCCGUUCUACAUAAUA